rnacentral:rRNA from 1 species
AGUGAACGCUGGCGGUAGGCCUAACACAUGCAAGUCGAACGGCAGCACAGUAAGAGCUUGCUCUUACGGGUGUCGAGUGGCGGACGGGUGAGUUAUACAUCGGAAUCUACUUUUUCGUGGGGGAUAACGUAGGGAAACUUACUCUAAUACCGCAUACGACCUACGGGUGAAAGCAGGGGAUCUUCUGACCUUGCGCUAUUGAAUGAGCCGAUGUCGGAUUAGCUAGUUGGCUGGGUAAAGGCCCACCAAGGCGACGAUCCGUAGCUGGUCUGACAGGAUGAUCAGACACACUGGAAGUGAGACACGGUCCAGACUCCUACGGGAGGCAGCAGUGGGGAAUAUUGGACAAUGGGCGAAAGCCUGAUACAGCAAUACCGCGUGGGUGAAGAAGGAGUUCGGGUUGUAAAGCCAUUUUGUUGGGAAAGAAAAGCAGCAGGUUAAUACCCCGCUGUUAUGACGGUACCCAAAGAAUAAGCACCGGCUAACUUCGUG